rnacentral:lncRNA from 1 species
CUGGACAAAGCAGUUUCAGAAGCAGAAUGGUUUUCUGGAAUCCAAAACUGAGAAGGAUGCCUAGCAAAAGAAUUCCAGAAUGGAUGCAUUACAGAAGCUAUGAUCAAACAGGCUUUCCUGAAGAAUCAAACUGUGAAAACUACAACCAUAAAAGGCCCUCCAUUUAUUGCAUUCGCCAAAAAAAAAAAAAAAGUGAUAUUCGUAUGGGAGGCUGAGCUGGUAUGUUGCCUUUUGAGAAGGGCUUUUUAAAUGUAAUUAGUUUCUAGAUUUCAUCUCCAUCCUGCAUUUUAGUUUUUGCCAGCCAGUGUGAUUUAUGCUUCAGUAGCUUUCAUAUUACCAAACUUUUAACAUGUUGCUCUGCAAAAUAUUAAGGGGUGGACAUGCAGGGAGAAAGUUAUUCAUGUUACACUGAUUUCCCUUGAGUUAUUAUUGUGGGAAUUCACAAGUGAUAGAUGCAAUAUCUGAACUGGUGUCUCACAAAAUGUACACCUUUAAGAUGUGAAGUCAUGAAAAUGUGGAGAUGCAAUGUCACAGGAGUGAAAUGCAGAAAUGGACAGUUAGCUUAGCCUCAACACCACCAUCUUCAAGAAGCGGAAAACAAAACUACAGAGAAGAACAGAUGUAUCAAACAGGAAUACAGUUACAUUCAUAUUCAUAUUCAGUCCAACACAACAGACCCAUACAAGAGAGAUUCAGGAGAGAGUAAUUUCAUAUGCACUGCAGAUGCUACACUGGAUUCUCAUUUAUUUAUGGACAGUUAGCUUAGCCUCAACACCACCAUCUUCAAGAAGCGGAAAACAAAACUACAGAGAAGAACAGAUGUAUCAAACAGGAAUACAGUUACAUUCAUAUUCAUAUUCAGUCCAACACAACAGACCCAUACAAGAGAGAUUCAGGAGAGAGUAAUUUCAUAUGCACUGCAG